rnacentral:lncRNA from 1 species
CCUUCCUCUUGCAAAAUAUCGCUCAAAUGCUUGAACUGAUCUGAAGAAAGAGCACACUGUUAACUUGUCAGUCCUAGGGAUUCUAGUACGAAGGAAAGACGAAAAGAGGAAUCCAUCCCCAACCAGGAAGCGGGAAUAUCUGCACCAGACCCAAGACCUUGGAGACGAGUAAACAGUCAACUUCAGAGGGCACAGAGUUCU